rnacentral:tRNA from 1 species
AUUUAAAUAGCUUAAAUUGUAGAGCAUAGUAGUGAAGUUACUAAGGUAAUAGUAAUAUUUUUAAAUA